GCUUACGGCCGUAUCACGUCGGGAGCACCGGUUCUCGUCCGAUCACCGAAGUUAAGCAACGUGGAGCCUAGUUAGUACUUAGAUGGGUGACCGCCUGGGAAACCUAGGUACUGUAUGUG
rnacentral:rRNA from 1 species